rnacentral:rRNA from 1 species
GAUGAACGCUGGCGGCGUGCAUAACACAUUCAAGUCGAACGAAGCAGCAAUGCUGAGUGGCGGACGGGUGAGUAACGCGUGAGCAACCUGCCUAUGAUUGUGGAAUAACACAGGGAAACUUGUGCUAAUACCGCAUAACGCAGCGGAACCGCAUGGUUCUGCUGCCAAAGAUAUAUUGAUCAUAGAUGGGCUCGCGUCUGAUUAGAUAGUUGGCAGGGUAAUGGCCUACCAAGUCUGCGAUCAGUAGCCGGACUGAGAGGUCGAACGGCCACAUUGGAACUGAGAUACGGUCCAGACUCCUACGGGUGGCAG